AUGUGGGGUCCCCAUGGGUGCCCCAUAGCGCCCCCUGCGGGCCGCCGCCGUUCCCGCGCUUUGGCCCCGCCCCGCGGGGGCGGCGGGCGCGGGCGCCGCUGUGGGAGCGGCGGGGCGGGGCCGUCUCCCGGCAACGGUCGUCAUGGCAACGGCAUAACAGCGCGCCCCCCUCCGCCCUUCAAGGGGCGACGGCGUGGGUGGGGCCCGCCGGGGGGGCUCUUAAAGGGGCAGCGCCUUAAAGGGGCCGCUCCCGGCGGCGCCGCCCGGGCUGGCGCAAUAACGGCCGGAGCGGCGGGCCGGGCACCGCCCCAACCGCGCCUUCCCCCCGGGCGGGCACCGGGCACAUCCGGGCUCCCUCCCCGCUUUCAAACCGGGCCCCUCCCGCCCCGCCUUUCUCACCUGCCCCGCCCCACCCCGCGUGUCCCAAGGGCGUUGCCCCUCCACGCGCCCGAAACGGGACCGGGAGGCGCGGGGGGAGCGGGUCCCGCGGUGUCCCACGGCACCAGGAACGCUCUGCGGGGAUGUCCCCCCACCCGAGACCCGCGUCCCGAGCUCCACGUGUCGGCCGAGCGCUCCGACAGCCGGGCAUCCCCCCCGGGAUGGGGGACACCCCCGGGAGGGGGACACCCCCGGGAUGGGGACCCCUACGGCAUGGGGACCCCUACGGCAUGGGGAACCCCCCCGGGAUGGGGAACAUCCCCGGGAUGGGGGACCCCCCCCGGGAUGGGGAACCCCCCCGGGAUGGGGACCCCCCCGGGAUGGGGAACCCCCCCGGGAUGGGGACCCCCACGGAACGGGAGCCGGUGUGGCGGUGUCCCCGAUCCCUUCCAAAACACGGAGCCAGGCGUUCUCCUGACGCCCAAAACCGGGAUUCCGCCCUCCCCAAAAAUAGGGGACCCCACGUGUGGGGGUGUCCCCCAAAAAUGGGGAGCCAGGUGUCCUGCUGCCCCUCCCCCCCCAAAGCCGGUGAUCCCAGACAUCCUGCCCGGUCCCAAACCGGGACUCCCGCAUCCUCCUGGCCCCGAAUGGGCAGCCAGGCGUGUCCCCCCCGCCCCAAAGGAACGGGGCACCGAGUCCUCCUGCCCCUGCGCACCGAGCCCGGGCCCGUGUGUGUCCCGGUGUGUCCCGGUGUGUCCCCGCCGGGGCUAUCCCGCCCCCCGGUGCCCCCGGAGCCCCCAUCCCCGGCGCCCCCCGUGUCUCACGAUCUCGCCGAUGAGCACCAGCCCCUUGUGGGUGCGGCUGAAGGCGAGGCAGUUGCCGGGGCAGUUCUGGGGCCCGCUGGACUCCAUGACGGGACCGGGCGGUACCGAACGGGCGGUGGCGGUGGCGGCGGUGACGGGGGGGGGGAGGGGGGAGCGGGGGGGGCGCCCCGAGGAGCUGGCACGGCGCGGGGGCGGGGCCUGGCGGCGCGCGCCGGCACGCCAUUGGCUGGCGCGGCGCGGGUGGGCGGGGCCUGGCGGCGGGGGAAACCCCAAUUAG
ensembl:lncRNA